rnacentral:rRNA from 1 species
GAGGGUGCGAGCGUUAAUCGGAAUUACUGGGCGUAAAGCGUGCGUAGACGGUUAUUUAAGUCGGGUGUGAAAGCCCCGGGCUCAACCUGGGAAUUGCAUUCGAGACUGAAUAGCUAGGGUACGGUAGAGGGAAGCGGAAUUUCCGGUGUAGCGGUGAAAUGCGUAGAUAUCGGAAGGAACAUCAGUGGCGAAAGCGGCUUCCUGGACCAGUACCGACGUUCAGGCACGAAAGCGUGGGGAGCAAACAGGAUUAGAUACCCUGGUAGUCCACGCCAUAAACGAUGAGGACUAGACGUUGGAGGGGUAAGCCUUUCAGUGUCGUAGCUAACGCGCUAAGUCCUCCGCCUGGGGAGUACGGCCGCAAGGUUG